rnacentral:rRNA from 1 species
UACGUAGGGGGCAAGCGUUGUCCGGAAUCAUUGGGCGUAAAGCGCGUGUAGGCGGCCCGGUAAGUCCGCUGUGAAAGUCGGGGGCUCAACCCUCGAAUGCCGGUGGAUACUGUCGGGCUAGAGUGCGGGAGAGGCGAGUGGAAUUCCUGGUGUAGCGGUGAAAUGCGCAGAUGUCAGGAGGAACACCAAUUGCGAAGGCAGCUCGCUGGAACGUAACUGACGCUGAGACGCGAAAGCGUGGGGAGCAAACAGG